CCCUCUUUGAUUUGCCCUUCUUCCAUUUCCUUCCCUGAGGCAUGCAUUUUCUCUUGUUUUUCUUCCUCACACAGGCACCUGCACCACGAAUUCUAUGCAAGGAGAGGAGUGAGGGUGCUGCAGGGAGAAAAAGGGAAGAACGGGAUGCACCUGAGGAGCGAUGGGUUGACAUCUUGGUUCCUGCUUGACCAUGUUGCCUAUGGUAUGCCUCUGCUACUUUCCCUCUUUACAAUUGCAUGCCUCUGUUUGCUGCUAAAUCAAUAACCUAGGCCACCAAUUGUUUGUUGUUUUGUUAAAAUCUUUAGAUCUGUAUGCCUCUAUUUUAGUAAUUGCUAUAGUAAUUGGAUCUGGUUGAGCUGAAAAUGGCGUUGGGGACAUCAAUUGGUCAUUUGGGUUCUCUGGUUGUACUACAAUUGGGACUGAAAUGGACACAUUUUUUUUGCUUGUAGGAUGGUGAGAAGGAGAAGGAAGGUGCUGCAAGUGCCAGGAGAAGGGGUCGGAUGUUGAUGAAACCCUUGGUUGUGAGGGUCUCUGUAUAGGUUUCAACUGAAUACUCUACUUAUUAUCUGAGAAAUACCAUGCAUAACCGAGCAACUAAUUCUAUUUUUUAAACUAGACAAAGCACCUACUGGUGAAAUGGACGUGAACCUUCAGAAAUCAAAUGUCCUCAUAUAGUAAUAUAUUUCACAUGUCUUCUAAUUUUUGAGUCCGUGAAAUACCUGAUGUACGUAGUGCAUAUGAUAUUUUGUAAACUGUAUGUGCUGGAUAGGUGGUUCUUAUGCUGCAAGGUAAUUGGGAGGCCCGCUCCUCCCCCGCAUAUGCCGCGUAAUUUAAGAUGUUGCCUGCCAAGCCCACAUAUUAUUAAGUGGGAUGUACUCUAAACUUAUAAUCAUUUAGUCUGAUGUAAUGCUAACACAGUGAUUUAUUAUACAACACGAUGGUACUUUUGGAUGGUAGUACGUUAAUUUAUUAGGAUGCAGUACUGAUACACUGAUUCAUUCGACUACUAGUGCUGGAUGGAUUUUCAGGUUGGAUAGAUCACUGUACUGCUGUGCAACUUCCCCUAGCUUCACAUUGCAAGCCCAAUGAUUCUUGUUCCCGGGAUGCCCACAUAAAACAGUUUGUUAUUUUUACUUGCCGCCAUUCACCAUCCGACUGUAGUUUUGCAACAUGCAAAUUGCAUGUACGUCUGUUAGGUCAGCAGCAUGCUAAUUGCCUGAGCUUGAGUACCACAAAUGUGAAGUUUUGACUUUCCUAUUGUAAUGGUUAGUGUGAAACUAGAAAUUGCUUCAAAACCUACCUGAAAGUUUCUUGCUUUGACAUGUAGUCUUACUAGAUGGUACAGUGGCUAUCGUCCAGAAAAUAAAUCUCUUUGGAAAAUAAAUAUUACGAGACUACUCUGAACAAUACUACUCCUUCAACUUGUACAUACUCCUAGGCUGUUGCUGUAUGGUUCCAAAAAUCCCAAAUAAAAAUCUGGAUGACAUUUACAUAUGUAAAUACAUACAUAUGAAAUAAGCACCACGGUUUCGUUUAGUGUGUAUGCGUCGAUAUGUUUUAAUUUUGACUGAAACAAUCUGGAUGGCACCUGCAUCUGUAGAUAAAUAUGAAGAAGAAUAUGAAGAAGAACCACAGUUUGGUUCAGUUUGUACGUGUUAAUUUGGUUUAACUUCGACUGAAAAUAUAUAUGAAUAAAUUUUGGUUUCAAGGCCCGUCUAAUGAUGGGCUUACUAUCCGACAAUGUUCAUUCUUUAGUUAUCCUUGUUAGUCAUGACCCCUUUAGCUAAUCUGUUUGGAACAGGUGGGUGGUACAUUUGUGUGUUGUUUGAUUGAAAGGCGAAACCUCUAGUAUUAUCAUGUUUGCUUUCCUUCGAAACGCUAGUCUUAUCAUGUUUGCUUUCCUUGGAAACGAUUCAGCUCUAGGAGCAAAUUAUUAGUUUGCUGUUUAUAAUCUGUAUCAUUUAUCAAAUUGUGUUGUAAAUUAUCAUUCCCUGUCUCAUCUUAAUUUUUUUUGCAUUCCCUGGCUCGUUUUAAUUCUGUUCCUGUGGUAGAGUAUGACUGUUGUUGUUUAUCCUGUUAAUUCAGUUGACUUUCUCUCUUGAAAUCUAGCCAAACACAGAAACAAGCACACUGCCGUAUUUGUACAGGCAAGAUCUCUUUUCACACCAUCUAGUCCAAAACAGAAAGCUGUUGUAUUCUCUGAUGAACUUCAAGGCAACGAAAAUGCAGCAGGAUAUAUGCAAGAUUCCUUGGGUACUUUGCACAAGAUAUUCAUGACACGCAAGCAGAGCCAUAUUAACAUAGGUACACCAUAUACUACACCUUUACACCAAGCAAGUAUUUACUCUGGGGAUCUUAUCAUCCAUAGUCUUGCAGCUUUAUGUUCCAUCUAAUAUGUACAGAAAUCAAUGUGUAUUCAUAACCAGACGUGUCAUUAGCUAGUUUAAAUCCUCAUUGUAUGCAAUAUAACUUGCCAGCACAUGGCAAUUUGUUUACUUAACCAUAUCUUUUAAUGGGUCAGCUUAGUAUUUUCUUUGUUCUGCACCAGACAUAACCAUAUAACCAAAAUCUAUUCCACAGCAACAAGUCUGUUCCUUGCUACCAAAAGUAGGUUACUUGUUAUAUUUUAGCAUACUAAGGGGUUCUCUCCAACCAAUUAUCUUCUGCACAGAGCCAAAGAGGCCCAAGCUGGGGUUGUGUUCGCUACAUCAACACUUGUAAUAUUUCCCAAUGCAUACAUUCAUUUGUUAUCAAGUUAUAUCAUCUUCCCAAAAUUGUUACAAUCAUCUUCAGUGUAGAGUAUAUAAUAUUUUUGUAGAUCUGGUGGUCAGGUUUAUAACAUGGUUGUCUGUACAAAAUUGUUGUAACUUAUCAUCAAUAUUUCUACAUAAAAUUUUCUAAAUCUUUUUGUUCUUCCUACGUAAAUACAAGUGAAACUUUAUCCUGAAACUUGACAAAAUGACACCCCUUUGGUUGGUUCUAACAAAAUUACUCAUAUCUAAAAAUGUUUAAUGUUUGUUCUAUUUUUGGACAGAUAUAUUAAUCCUACUUGUUGCCUCUCACAACUGCACGAGAUGAUAGUUGCCAUGAAGAGCAUUGAUUGCAAGAAAUUGAAUAAGAAACUUUUAUAUAUGUUGUUGAUGUAAAUUGGAUUGUGCUGGUCCUAAACUUGCUAUGUGUUGUAUUUUGUCAAUUCGUGUUUUAAAUUAUCAUUUCAUGGAGGAUUUUGUAAACUGCUAUGUUGUACAUAUUGGUAGAUGGCUGCAUAAAUACUACAUGAUCUUUCUAUUUUAUGGCACUUUGAAAUAUGUUUUUUCUUCAGCCAAUGUUGAUGCUAUGAUCUAUGUAAUGUAUUAUGCUAGAAAAAAAUCC
rnacentral:lncRNA from 1 species